GAAAUGCGAUACGUAAUGCGAAUUGCAGAACUCAGUGAAUCAUCAAAUCUUUGAACGCAAAUGGCGCUUUCGGGAUAGGCCUGAAAGCACGUCUCUUUGAGUAUCGAUUCCACCACAACAAGUCAACUUGUUUGAAUUUGUUGAAAUUGAGUCUUCUCAUAAUCUUUGAUUAUGUGACUUGAAGCAAAAUGGGUUUUUAUCAGUAAAGUCAAUGCUUUUGGUUCUUCGGAGCUAAAUAGAGAGAUUGAUUAUGUUUCUUGUAACGUGGGUAAAUCCAAUACGUGACAUUGAACUAUCAAAGAUCAAUCAAUUGAUAAACAUUUAAACUUUCAAAAAGCCCUUAUAACACCAAACUUUUAGUUAAGAAUUAGAUCUCAAAUGAAGCGAGAAAACCCGCUGA
rnacentral:misc_RNA from 1 species